CGCCGGCGGGCAUCUUCAAGCGGCUCGGCGCAGCCACGCCCGCCCGGAUCCGUUGAAGAAGGGGAAAGGGGCCCGCCGCCACCGUCAUCACAGGCCGCGCGGGAGAUUACAUUAUCGUCAUCAAAGAAAAUUUGUCAUAUGGCUGAUCCAUGAAUAAUUGGAUACGAUACGUUACGUGCCGGCUUAUUCACCGGAGUAUGAUUUGGGGCGUCCUUCCGUUUCGUCACCAGUUCACCAGGAAGGUACAACUAUUUAUGUUCCUUGGUUGAGGUUUAGCAACGAUGGUGGCUCCCUAUCAGUAGCGAGGUAUCCUUGUGCACGGUUUUGAUGGUCCGGAGUUUUUGUAGUAUUCUAUGGACUACGUUGGUGCCAAAUUUUCAAACGUUCAAGAAGUUUGCACUAAACUAAUGAAUGAAGUACUCUAUGCUAAUCCAGAUCCUUCUUUGGAUGGCAAAGAACAUGUUAAUUUCUAUAAUCAGAUGGUUGCAG